AAGACCUUGCGCUUUUGGAGCGGCCGAUGUCUGAUUAGCUAGUUGGUAGGGUAAUGGCCUACCAAGGCGUCGAUCAGUAGUUGGUCUGAGAGGACGACCAGCCACACUGGGACUGAGACACGGCCCAGACUCCUACGGGAGGCAGCAGUGGGGAAUUUUGGACAAUGGGCGGAAGCCUGAUCCAGCCAUGCCGCGUGAGUGAAGAAGGCCUUCGGGUUGUAAAGCUCUUUCAGCCGGAACGAAACGGUCACGGCUAAUACCUGUGACUACUGACGGUACCGGAAGAAGAAGCACCGGCUAACUACGUGCCAGCAGCCGCGGUAAUACGUAGGGUGCGAGCGUUAAUCGGAAUUACUGGGCGUAAAGCGUGCGCAGGCGGUUUUGUAAGUCAGAUGUGAAAUCCCCGGGCUUAACCUGGGAACU
rnacentral:rRNA from 1 species